rnacentral:rRNA from 1 species
UACGUAGGGGGCAAGCGUUGGUCCGGAAUCAUUGGGCGUAAAGCGCGUGUAGGCGGUUCAGUAAGUCUGCUGUGAAAGUCCAGGGCUCAACCCUGGAAUGCCGGUGGAUACUGUCGAGCUAGAGUCCGGAAGGGGCGAGUGGAAUUCCUGGUGUAGCGGUGAAAUGCGUAGAUAUCAGGAGGAACACCGGUGGCGAAGGCGCACAUCUGGCCCGAUACUGACGCUGAGGCGCGAAAGCUAGGGGAGCAAACGGG